AUACGUAUGGUGCAAGCGUUAUCCGGAUUUACUGGGUGUAAAGGGAGCGCAGGCGGUACGGCAAGUCUGAUGUGAAAGCCCGGGGCUCAACCCCGGUACUGCAUUGGAAACUGUCGGACUAGAGUGUCGGAGGGGUAAGUGGAAUUCCUAGUGUAGCGGUGAAAUGCGUAGAUAUUAGGAGGAACACCAGUGGCGAAGGCGACUUACUGGACGAUAACUGACGCUGAGGCUCGAAAGCGUGGGGAGCAAACAGGAUUAGAUACCCUGGUAGUCCACGCUGUAAACGAUGAAUACUAGCUGUUGGGGAGCAUUGCUCUUCAGUGGCGCAGCAAACGCAAUAAGUAUUCCACCUGGGGAGUACGUUCGCAAGAAUGAA
rnacentral:rRNA from 1 species